CGCUUCUUCUAUUGGCUGUUUUUCCUUUUAGCCCCGCCCCUCUUACCUGAUUGGGGCACCUUUGGCUUGUGCAGGUCUCAGCAGUACAGUGAUGGUGGUGGCAGUUUCAUUCAGAGAGGCAUCAACGCCUUCAUAGUCAGAUGUCCGAAUGAAGUGCCCUUGACCUCAGGAGACGAGAGGAAAGGCUUGCUAAGCUACACGAGAACACAAUAUAGAACUGAAUGUCUGGAAUGUGUUAUGGCCAAGCCAGGACCACGAGCCUUCCAGAUUCUGCAUUCCUCACUGGCUUACCUGAGAUAUUUGUGGUCACGUUGAUGGCUGUGGCUGGCCCGAAGCCUUUGACGGUGCUGGCUCUUAUGAAGAACUGGGAACAUGGCAAGUUCUAGCAACACUUAGCAGCACAGGGAAGAAAAUCAAGAUAGCAAAGUAUAUGAAAGGAGAAAACCAAGGGAAAUUGCACUGUUAACAAGCGAGUGGAUAAAAAUAAAUGACAAUAUAAAACGCAUGUAGCUGAAUCUAAAUGUUAUCAAGUAAGGCGUCCUGGCUUUAAAUGUUAACACCAGGCAAUAAAACAUGUGGCCAUGCUCUUAAUACUGGAAACACGGGUUAUAAAGUGCCCAGUGUGACCGUGAAUUCUCCGUAGCAUGUCGGAAGGUGUGUGAUUCCUCAGGACAACUGUCGCUCUUCUUAGACAUCUGCUCCCAUUAUUGACCUAUGAACCCAUUCCCACCACCUCUUCGUUUCCACACAGUAAGUUUUAAGUGUGUGGGAGGGGAGGGUAGGGGUAGCAGAUGGAGGUGAGGUAUUAUUUAAAUAUUGUAACCACAUAGCUUUCAUACGCGGAACCAUAUUGAGAUAGCCACCUUGAUUGACUCAAACAGGGUAACACCGCAUUCAUCAUAAGUCUCAAGAGUUUUUACUCAAAAAUGUUUGUAACCUGAGAUUCACUUCAGACACUGUGUUGUUGCAGUCUGAGCUAAAUGACGUCCAGGGUUCUUGCUUCUAUAAAGACAAAGUAACAAACCACAGUCACUUCCACUUUCCGGAGCAGAAAACUUGAAAGAACUGUUUCUAAAAAGUGCAGCUCAGAGACCUAUUUUAUGACAGCCACCUCAGUCCUACUUGCUAGGUUACCAAAAGCAAUAUAGUGGCCUACUGACGACAUGAAGGGAGGUGGGGCAGUGGUCUGGCUAUAAAACAGAUCUUUUGUUCUGAAACUCAAAUAAAAACAAUGGCAUCCCAUCAGACUGUUCAAGGAGAAAGUAGGAAGGAACGGGAGCAGAGAAAUCUCCAGAUCUGAUUUCUUCUCUUGAGCACAGGACUAGAGAACUGGGAGAUGUUAUUGGCUAUAGAGGAGUAAAAUGAUACAGUUAGGCUCUAUAUUUUUGUUCAAUAAGGAGCUCUAUUCACAGUCAUGCUAACGAUUUAGCAUAAUAUCAGGGAAAAGACUUAACAUAUUAUAAUAUUAAUAUAAAUAUACAUUCCUAUUACCUAAUUUUCAUGAAUAUAAUUUCUGAGAUUGUAGUAAAAUCUGUAAAAGUGAUGGCCUGUAAUUUUCUUAGGAGGAACUUCAUUUUGACUAAAAAGAUGUCUUGUGCCUUUUGUGUUCUCUCUCUCUCUCUCUCUACACACACACACACACACACACACACAUACACACACACACACACACACACACACAGACUUACAACCAGAUGGAGUACUCUAUCUUCAAAUAUUAGGAAAACAAUAGCAGCUAGUAUGGUUUACAAAACACACACGCAAUGUGUAAGAAAGUAAAUUUGCCAAAAGGUGACUGAUAUAUUGAUGUGGACAAUAACCUUUUUUGUUCUUACCACUUGGUAAGAAGAGCUUGAUUCAGGCUUUACUCAUCACUGUUUGAAAACACAGCAUGGGUGAAUGUCAUUUGAUAUUUGGAUUCUUUUCUAAAGAACACGUCUCUUGUUAGAGCUAAACUGGGAUGAGAAAAUUUGGUGGGUUUCCGGGUUUGGCUCAGUGAUGGAUACUGUAGGGUCAAUGUAGAAAUGAUGUCAUUCUUGGUCCCCUCAACCCUCGCCCUCCCCCCCCCCCGGAGAUAAUAAACAUGAGCGUACCAUCCUCAUCAGUCUGGAUGAUUGUCUCUUCGCUCUCCUUCCUCCCCUCUGGGUUGGUUAGGAUCAUCUUGAGGCUGACAUUUGUGUAAGGUGGCAGAUGGUUUACAACGUGUUGAGGGGCUUUGGGGUCCAUGUCCAAGCAGUCGGCCCUGCUCUCAUUGUGGCCUCGGAAGUAAUGGUAGCAAAUGGUGACGUUGAAAGUGUGGCAGCGCGUGAUGUUGUAGCCCAAGGACUCCCAGUCCACAGCGAUGCGCCUUGCCUGGAUUUCAGCAAUCUUCAAAGUCUUUGGCGUCCGCAUGGGUUCUGCAAAAAUAAAUCAAAGUUGCAGACAGACGUCAACUUGACCGUGAAUGCUUCCGGAAGAGUGUCACACUGAACGUGACACAGCAUACACGGACGCAGUGACUCUCAAGAGAAUCUUCGGCUUUCAGUGUUUUGCCAAGAGAAUGAUUGGGUUUUAGUGUCAAUACCUGAUCAGUUUUAUUUUGGUAAGCUUUGGACACUUCCUACUUUAGUUUUCGGAACUGGGACACAACAGUAAGACAAGAACAACAUUUCCUAGUACUCGGUAACCAAGCAGCAAAUAGAGAAGCGGAGAUGUGGAAACAAUAACUAUGGUCGCGAUUGUGCAGUUCCCUGUCGCUUUCCUUCAUCACUAUUAAGCGAGUAGAUUAGCUCAUACAUCAGAAGGGACAUGAGUCAACGUGCUCUGCUCAGUGAUUUGUCAUGUCACUAAGCUAUGGUGUGUACUAAUUAGUCUAAUUGUAACACUAAACUACCAUUUACCAAAAAUGGCCCGGCUAUUAAUUAACACUAAUUAUUUCAGUAAUGAUGUUGUUCAUCAACACAAAUAAAAGAUGUGGAAAAAUUACCAGGACACAUGUGGAUAGCAGCACCAUCCUCCUGCCUUCUUGAUCUCUUUGUGUCUUAUUUUCUAAGACACGCGGGUCUAACAACCCAUUCGCUGUCACACUAACCAAAUGAGGAGGGGAGAGCUCACUGGGCUGGAAAACGCUGGCCUGACUGAACCCUCAGAAUACUGGAGUCCAUCCAUCACCGACUCCCAGCGGGAUCCGUUCCUCAUGCAAGACUGACUUUAAUUGUCUAACUUAAUCAAAAUAAUUACUCCACGAAAGUCAGGACCAUGGUGAACCAUAUACAGCAUGGAAACCAGAACACAGCAAAAUGUUAAGACAUCGAUUAGAUAAAAGUAAAAAAGCUGAGGCCACGCUCAAGGUCUUACUAGUGCUUUCCUCAACCCACUCAGGGUGGUCGAUACCACUGCUGACAACAAGAACCUGAAGUCAGCAAGGGUAAAAGCAAAACACAUGGAAAAGGGCCCGGUUUGGAUGUUUUUGUUCAUUUUUAUGUUUGGUGUUAAAAAAAAAAAACAAUUAGAAUGUGACACAGAUGCAAGGGCAGAUUGGGAAUCCAGCUCGGUGGCUCUAGUGUGGGACAGAAAGCAAUCCCAAGUGGCAAAUACGUUAAAAUUUCAAAUCUAAAUAUUCCCCGUGUACACAUACAAAACAGACAUUGGUAGAACCUAGUGCACAGGUUUCAAGUGUUAGUGGGUGCUCUUCAGACUUCCGCCUGGCUGCUGUACCAGAUUAGAUCUUGUUUACUGUCCUAAGAGCACACGGAGAGACCGGAAGGAGGGUGGUGGCUCUGUGAUCAUACAUGCCUUCUCGUGUAUUUAUCACCAUGCUAAUGCUUUCCCACCGGGUGAUCCAUCCAGUGUAGUGCCAAUUCCCAUCAGUCUUUGUCUCUGGAAUCCAGCAGCUGACUGAACAAUAACAGCUACAUUAGCUCCAUUCAUCGCUAGGGAAACUAAUUUUCGCUACGGCCAGAGAGCAAGACUUUCCUCAGUGACCAAAGUCAACUUGGACCAUACUUUGUCUAUAAAGUAUUUAUUUGUAUCCAGAAUGAGGAAGUAAAUGAGUGACCCCUGGACAUCAAUGACAGAAACCACCACUGAGAAAGAUCUCCUGUUUAGUGAUGCUACGUGUUUACAUAGAUCCUCUCACUCUGAAUCUUGCGUUCCCUUUUCCUACACAUCCUAACCAUCUCCUCUCCCCAUAUCUGUUUUUCACCUCUGUGCAGCUGACAGGUAAUCCACAAUCUAAUACCAUCUCAGACACCACGCAAGAGGUCAGUGUCUUACGUGCACCCCAAGUUCUCACAUAGCUCAGAGUUGGCGGAGGAUGGAUAAGUUGCUGUCUUGGUUAACUUUUGUCAAACCUAGGCAGAUCUGAGAAGAGGAAGUUGCAACUGAGGAACUGCCCUUAUGGAACUGGCAUGAGGGUGAGGGCAGAAGCCAUUUUCUUGAUGUUUAUUGACAUAGGAGGGUCCAGCCUGCUAGGGCUGUGCGUGCUCUGGGCAGGGGGUCCUGGGUUAUAUAGGAAAGCAGACUGAAGAGUUGUGGGGAGCAAGCAGGUAAAUGUUACACCUCCAUAGACUUGCCUCAGGUCCUGCUUCCAGGAUUCUGCUUGAGAUUUUUCCCCUGGCUUCCUUGAUAACAGAGUCUGAUUAUGAGAAGUAAUACCACCCACCCCCCUUUAAAUCACAGUAACAAAAAAAAAAAAACCCAACUAGGACAAUUACUCACUCCAUAAAAGUUAGCUGGUGCACUUAGAUAAAUAGGUUUGUGUGCAUUCGAAUGUUGCUUGUUUGGUAUUCAUAGUGAAUUACAUAUGAAAUUCAAUAUGAAUUAGGAAAAAGGAUAUAACUAGUCCUAUGUAUGUCACCACCAAAAUUUCCAUGCCAAUAUUUGAUUAAGAAAAGAAUUUUUGACGAAGAGUUUUUCAACAAAGUCAGUAGGUUACUUCCAUUGCUCUUUUGCUUUCACAGACUGAAUAAAUGCAAUUGGUUACCAUGUUCUUGUUAAAGAGAGAUUUAGACAUAAUUUUACAUUUUUCGUUUUUGUCUUGCUAGGUAGUCUUUGCUGACUUGGAACCCAGUCCCUUCUCAUGCUCACUUAGAUACAGUAAACAUGGAGCUUUAAGAGUUAUUGGGCGCAAAUGUUAAUCAAGUACUUGGAAAGCAGAGGCAGGAGGAUUCCAGUCAGAAGGGCAAUCGGAGAUACCCAGCAAGUUCCUGGCCUGUCUGGAUUACACGGAAAGUUCUAGUCUUAAACAAGCAAACACCAAAACAAAAAUAAAAUAAAAUCACCUCUA